rnacentral:tRNA from 1 species
GUAGCUCAGUUGGUAGAGCAACGGACUGAAAAUCCGUGUGUCGGCGGUUCGAAUCCGCCCGAGGCCACCA